CUGGGUAGCCUACCAGACGAAUUUAGCCCUGCCCACAACAUUUGAGGUCGGGAAGUCUGACUAGAAUUAUGAGUAGGACAACGUCAGGCUACCAAACGGGAACCUUUUCUUAAAAAUGAAACGAAGCUUCUCGAUAGCAAUUCGCUCGUCCUUGUCACAAUCGCCUGCCUAGAUGAAAGUAAAACAGAACUUCGCUUAGCUGCAUGUAUCAGUUACGCUCGACACCGAGGUCGUUCAAGUGCUUCAAGUUUUAUUUAAGCUUCCAAGCCUCGGUUUCAAGGGGAUAAUUACUACCUGUCAUAGGUUUUACCUUCAUUUUUUUUAUCAUGGGAAUAUUCUGUGUGUUCAUUGUCGUUGACAAUGUUAAGCCAUUCUCGCUCUUCGAGUCAGGUAAGAAACAACAUCUGUUAAAACCUAGGCUACUUAUUAAAUAUACUUUAUUUUGAAUCGUCUUUAAUAGGCCUACGUUCCUCAAUUAUUUAGUUAGACUUAUCUUCAAUAAUUUUCUCCCAUAUGUCCAGGAGAAGACGUUUUAUCCGCGUUGGAGGUGUCUGACUUAAACAUAAAGCAGAGAAAAAUAGAUCAUUAUUCUUCACAACCCUUUCUGAAGCCGACCAUGUCUUUAUUUGAAGUUAUUGUCUGUAAACUUCGGAAAUUCACGUUAUUUAGAAGACUCCGGACAGAAGUCUGCUCAUCCCAACAGAACAAUGUUAGUGAUAAAGGAGCUGUCAAAGAGGUUGCCUUACAACUGAACAGAACUCUAAAGGGUCAGGCAGUGUCUCUGUUACCCAGCAUCCUUAGCGAUCAUUGGAGUAUUGAUGACUGUCGAGAUGCUAUCCUAAGAUGGGCAGACGAAUUGCAACACCUACAGUUAAAGGCAGAGCAGACGCAGGCUGAACCCAACACUUCUUCCAGUACAGCUGCGGAGAGAAGGAUGGUCUCGGCGAGUUCGAGCCCAAACGACCGUGAGGAGGAGAGACUUCGGGAGGCCCAGCUGACCUUAAAACAGUGGGCUAACAGCCUGAAAGCACUUCCUGAGGGUUCUGUGAGUUUGGGGACGGAUGUGGGGGGUGUACUGGAGGAUCUGGACAAGCAAUGGAGGAGGGGGCAGCUGCCCAACAUGCUCCCAGCCCUGGAGGUCAUCGUGAGGAGCGUGAUGCAGAGUCAACAAAGACCAGAGGUUGUCAUCCCUAUGAAGUGGAUCUGUAAACCGAGAAAAAGCUACUCUGGCUGGGGUAACACUGGCUGGAGGCCUUCUUCGCACUCAAGGUUUCUUACAACGUGC
ensembl:lncRNA